AUUGAACGCUGGCGGCAGGCCUAACACAUGCAAGUCGAGCGAGCGGCGGACGGGGGAGUAAUGUAUGGGGAUCUGCCUGAUGGCGGGGGAUAACUACUGGAAACGGUAGCUAAUACCGCAUACCAUCAGAUGAACCCAUAUGGGCUUAGCUAGUAGGUGAGGUAACGGCUUACCUAGGCGACGAUCCCUAGCUGGUCUGAGAGUAUGAUCAGCCACACUGGGACGGAGACACGGCCCAGACUCCUAGGGGAGGCAGCAGUGGGGAAUAGUGCACAAUGGGCGCAAGCCUGAUGCAGCCAGGCCGCGUGUAGUAAGAAGGCCUUCGGGUUGUAAAGUACUUUCAGUCGGGAGGCGUUACCGACAGAAGAAGCACCGGCUAACUCCGUGCCAGCAGCCGCGGUAAUAC
rnacentral:rRNA from 1 species